ACAUACGACCAUACCCACUGGAGAACUCGGGAUCCCGUCCGCUCUCCCAUAGAUAAGCCAGUGAGNCAGUAGUUGGGUCGGUGACGACCAGCGAAUACCUGGUGUUGUAUGUA
rnacentral:rRNA from 1 species